rfam:Oryza sativa Japonica Group DNA, chromosome 4, cultivar: Nipponbare, complete sequence.
AAAAAGACAAACUAUGGGUUUCCGUGUCCAACUUUAACUGUCUGUCUUAUAUGAAAUUUUUUUAUAAUUCGUAUUUUUAUUGUUGUUAGGAGUAGAUGAUAAAACAUGAUUAAUAUUUUAUGCGUGACUUGUCUUUUUAAUUUUUUUCAUAAUUUUUUCAAAUAAGACGGACGGUCAAACAUUGGGCACGGAAACCAGGGUUUGUCUUUUU